GUGGGUAUAGCUCAAUGGUAGAGUGCACACUUAGUAUGCAUGAGGUCCUGGGUUCAAUCCCCAGUAACUCCA
rnacentral:tRNA from 1 species